rnacentral:rRNA from 1 species
AAGGUGUACCCAAGCGGGGAAACCGAUGGAAAGCCAGUUAAUAUUCUGGCACCUGUAUAUACUGCGAUGAGGGGACGAAGGAGCGUAAGGCUGGCCACGAGACGGAAUACGUGGUUGAAGUGCGUAGGCGAUGAUUCAGUAGGCAAAUCCGCUGAUGAGUUGAAACACGAUAGUAUUUUGAUGACUUCGGUCAUUGAGAAUAAAGCCCCAAGCAAGCUUCCAAGAAAAGCCUCUAAGCUUCAGGUAUAUAGAGCCCGUACCGUAAACCGACACAGGUGGUCGAGGAGAGUAUCCUAAGGCGCUCGAGUGAUCCGUGGCUAAGGAACUAGGCAAAAUAGUCUCGUAACUUCGGGAGAAGAGACUCCAACAGCAAUGUUGGACGCAGUGAAGAGGCCCAGGCGACUGUUUAGCAAAAACACAGGACUCUGCGAAUUCGAAAGAAGAAGUAUAGGGUCUGACACCUGCCCGGUGCUGGAAGGUUAAGAGAGGGGGUUAGCGCAAGCGAAGCUCUUAAUUGAAGCCCCAGUAAACGGCGGCCGUAACGAUAACGGUCCUAAGGUAGCGAAAUUCCUUGUCGGGUAAGUUCCGACCUGCACAAAUGGUGUAACGAUCUGGGCACUGUCUCAGCCACGAGCUCGUGAAAUUGAAGUAUCGGUGAAGAUGCCGAUUACCCGCAAUGGGACGAAAAGACCCCGUGAACCUUUACUAUAACUUCACAUUGGGCUUGAAUAUAAGAUGUGUAGGAUAGGUGGGAGACUAUGAAGCUGUCACGCUAGUGGCGGUGGAGUCGGCGUUGAAAUACCACCCUUUUUAUAUUUAGGUCCUAAUCCCUGGAAAGAGGGAGACAGUGUGUGGCGGGUAGUUUGGCUGGGGUGGUCGCCUCCGAAAGAGUAACGGAGGCUUGCAAAGGUACCCUCAGUGCCGUUGGUAACGGUACGCAGAGCAUAUUAGUAGAAGGGUGCUUGACUGAGAGACUGACGGGUCGAUCAGGGUCGAAAGACGGCUAAAGUGAUCCGGUGUUUCCGCAUGGAAGGGACAUCGCUCAAAGGAUAAAAGGUACUCCGGGGAUAACAGGCUGAUCUCCCCCAAGAGCUCAUAUCGACGGGGAGGUUUGGCACCUCGAUGUCGGCUCGUCACAUCCUGGGGCUGGAGAAGGUCCCAAGGGUUGGGCUGUUCGCCCAUUAAAGUGGCACGUGAGCUGGGUUCAGAACGUCGCAAGACAGUUCGGUCUCUAUCUAUUGUGGGCGUUGGAAUAUUGAGGAGUCCUGACACUAGUACGAGAGGACCGUGUUGGACGAACCGCUAGUGUACCUGUUGUGGCGCCAGCUGCAGUGCAGGGUAGCUAUGUUCGGACUGGAUAAGCACUGAAAGCAUCUAAGUGCGAAGCCAUCUCCAAGAUUAGUAUUCCUUGAAGGGUCGUAGGAGAUUACUACGUUGAUAGGCUAUAGGUGGAAGUGCAGUAAUGUAUGGAGCUGAGUAGUACUAAUUACCCGAAAGCUUCCUC